rnacentral:rRNA from 1 species
CGUCCGUAACGAGCGCAACCCUUGUCCUUAGUUACCAGCACGUUAUGGUGGGCACUCUAAGGAGACUGCCGGUGACAAACCGGAGGAAGGUGGGGAUGACGUCAAGUCAUCAUGGCCCUUACGGCCUGGGCUACACACGUGCUACAAUGGUCGGUACAAAGGGUUGCCAAGCCGCGAGGUGGAGCUAAUCCCAUAAAACCGAUCGUAGUCCGGAUCGCAGUCUGCAACUCGACUGCGUGAAGUCGGAAUCGCUAGUAAUCGUGAAUCAGAAUGUCACGGUGAAUACGUUCCCGGGCCUU